rnacentral:rRNA from 1 species
UACGUAGGGUGCAAGCGUUGUCCGGAAUUAUUGGGCGUAAAGAGCUCGUAGGCGGUCUGUCACGUCGGCUGUGAAAACCCGAGGCUCAACCUCGGGCCUGCAGUCGAUACGGGCAAACUAGAGUACUGCAGGGGAGACUGGAAUUCCUGGUGUAGCGGUGAAAUGCGCAGAUAUCAGGAAGAACACCGGUGGCGAAGGCGGCUCUCUGGGCCUUACCUGACGCUGAGGAGCGAAAGCGUGGGUAGCGAACAGG